GCAAGUCGAGCGACGCAUAUUCGGUGGGUAACCACUGGGUAUGACGGAGCGGCGAACGGGUGAGUAUCACGUGAGUAACCUGCCCCGAAGAACGGGAUAGCCCGGGGAAACCCGGAUUAAUACCGAAUACCCUCCCUGGAUCGCAUGAUCCGCUGAGGAAAUGCCUUUGUGCUUCGGGAUGGACUCGCGGCCUAGCAGCUAGUUGGUGAGGUAACGGCUCACCAAGGCGACGACGGGUAGCUGGUCUGAGAGGACGAUC
rnacentral:rRNA from 1 species